AUGCUGAAUUGUCUGGAAGGCUCCCAGUGUCGCAGGAACUGCCUGGUGGACGAACACAGGGGUUUGUUGAGUAAAGGGGGUUACAUGAGCACCAAAGGGACUGGAACAUUUUCCUACCUCUGUCCCCUCAUAGGUGACCUGAUCAGCAUGGCGGCCAUCCCAGGAGGACCCAGUCCCCGCAGGAGCACAGAUGCAGGCCAGCGGGGAACGGCGGUCAUCAGUUUGACAGCCCAUCACGAGAGAGGAGAGUGGAGACUCUCCAAACCGGCAUUUCAUCCUGCUCAAAGACACAGAAGCUGGCUUGGGUAGGAAGCAGGGCAUGGUGGGUGCAGCAGUAAGUGAGAGGCCCCACCUCAGAUGGAGGACCAGGAGAACGAUACCUUGGCUCAUUUACCUGGGUCCAACAUCAUCACUCCCUAUAGAGUCCCAGAUUGUGUCUCCAUGGUGUGGAAGAGUACAGAGUGGAUUCAUACACAAAGGUGAAUAUGUCCAGGACCUGUGGGUUUGCUUUACCAUCCAGGUGGCUCCAUGUGCAGAUGUGGCUGUGCCCCCAUUAAACAACCACCCCUUCACUCAUUUCAUUCUCACUUGCCUUUAAAGACACUCCUCACACCUACCUUAACCUGUCUAUACAUGCAUAGUUAUUCCCCUUCCUGUUCCAUUCCCUCAUUUGUCUGAUUGAUGCACUGUGGAUAGAGAUUCCUCCUAAUUCCUGAGUCAGCACCAGUAUGUGUUUCCUUCUGCCAAUAUAGGGAGUUCUCAGGCAGUGACCCUGGGUCAGGAGCACGGAGAGCUGCUGUGUUUGGUGUGGCCCCUGUCUGCCCUCCUGAGUGGCAUUAGUGUGGGACCCUCAUUGCCCACAGGAGCAGGGGAGAGCCCUAUAAGAAUAGAGAGUACUAAGGCCAGUGGUCCACAAGUGGCUGUAACCCUUCCCUCUCUUCCUUCCCAGUACCUCUGGGUACAGACGCUUUAGGUCUGCCUGGAGGAGACUUCAUGUCAAAAUGACUCAUCAGUGACUGGAUCAGUGUAUCUGCCUGUCCUGGACCUCCUGGGCAAGCAGAUGUGGCAGGGCUGUGUGACAGUGUCUGAGUCCCACUGUUGUUGGAUAGGAUGGGGUCAGAGCCCUGGUCCUAUGCCUUCAUUCCAGAGGGCUGAAGCCAUUUGUGGUGCUGACAGUGUAGCCUGGCUAGGCGUUGUGCCUGUCCCCGCUGGUGUUGCCCUAAGGAGUGCCCAUUGACUGUUGGUCUCGAGGGCAGCCCAGGAAUUUCUUACUGAGGUCAGGCUGCCAGGGCACCAGAUGGGUUCAGCC
rnacentral:lncRNA from 1 species